rnacentral:rRNA from 1 species
GUUCUACCUUGACGAAUUGUAGUUUAAAGAAGUGUUUUCUGUUAGAUGAGUAGCAAAAGUUCCUUGGAAUGGGACAUCAUAGAGGGUGAGAAUCCCGUAUUUGGUUAUUCAUUCUAGCUUUGUGAUACACUUUCAAAGAGUCGGAUUGUUUGGGAAUGCAGUCCAAAAUGGGUGGUAAAUUUCAUCUAAAGCUAAAUAUUGGCGAGAGACCGAUAGCGAACAAGUACCGUGAGGGAAAGAUGAAAAGAACUUUGAAAAGAGAGUUAAACAGUACGUGAAAUUGUCAAAAGGGAAGCGUUUGACACCAGUGUUGUUUUUCCGAAAAUCAAUUACGAAUGGCUUGAUUUUGUGUUGUAUUGACCUUAUCAGCUUUCUGCACUUUUUUCGAGUCUUUCUU